GGGUAUCAAAGCAAAUACUUGGGAUUAAAUUGAAAUGUUCAAGUUGAUCUAGAUAAGGAAAUUUCCACUUUGGUUGAGUAACAUGUUGCCACAGAAGUAGUUCCUAUUUGGAAAAUUCUUGCAUCCACCAUGGACUUAAAAAAGCUACAAACGAGAGAGAUUUAUAUAUUUAAUAGUUGGGUUCUAAAACUAGGAAAAUAUGCUUUGUUUCUGCAAGUUUCAAAGUUGCAGAAACAAAAGAGAAAGAUUGAAUUGGCUUUGGGGUUGAUUAGGUUGGCUUACAAAACGCUCAUUUUAAGUAUUCUUUAGAGCACUUUUUUCUGCAAUCAAGGUACAUAAUUUAGGCUGUGAAUAUAUGGUUUAGUUCAUGGCUUUGGCAUGUGAUUAAUCCUAGACUAGUGAUACAAACAAUUGGACUUGAGUUUAUACAUGAACAUGGAUUAGAAUCAUAUUAUUUAGUUUUUCUUCACCGUAUAUCUUAUCUCUUAGAUCCAUGGAGGACCUUCAGUAUAAAUGCCCUCUUGCUAUAUCACGCUAAUAGAAUUGGAAUUAGUCGCUUAUUGAGUUUAGUGGAGUUGAGCCCUAUUCUAAUUGUGUUGUUGCUUGGUGUAAAUAAGAUCUUCCAAAAUUAUACAUGAUUUAAGACCAUAACUGGUGGAAUGGAUCAUCAUUCUUGCAGUCAGUCAAUUGGCAGCUCAUGUUUUAGUUAGAUUGGCAACAUCCUUUCCAGUUAGGUCCCCUCAGAAAAGAAAAGAAAUGGCAUCAUUAAUUGAUGUAUGUGGUCAUAUCUCAAAGAUCUAGGAGUUUCCUUGGUUCUUAGAGAUUAACGUGUUUUGUCUAAUGUUUCCUCACAAAGAAAUGACAAAUGAUUCUGUCACAGAUUUGAAAAGGAUGAAAAUCUUUUCAGUUUGCGAAUGGCUUACAAUAGGGUUGGGUACAGUUUAGUUCCAAUUCUUGAAAAAAUUUUUACGCAAUUGCUGAGUCCGACCCGGAUCAUUAUUGCGGGUUUUAAAGUUAGC
rnacentral:misc_RNA from 1 species